rnacentral:rRNA from 1 species
AUAUUGCGCAAUGGGCGAAAGCCUGACGCAGCGACGCCGCGUGAGGGAUGAAGGUCUUCGGAUCGUAAACCUCUGUCAGCAGGGAAGAACGGUCACUGUGCUAAUCAGCAGUGAAUUGACGGUACCUGCAAAGGAAGCACCGGCUAACUCCGUACCAGCAGCCGCGGUAAUACGGAGGGUGCGAGAGUUAAUCGGAAUUACUGGGCGUAAAGCGAACGUAGGCUGUUGUGUAAGUCAGGGGUGAAAUCCCAAGGCUCAACCGUGGAAAUGCCCUGGAUACUGCAUGACUGGAAUCCGGGAGAGGGUGGCGGAAUUCCAGGUGUAGGAGUGAAAUCCGUAGAUAUCUGGAGGAACAUCAGUGGCGAAGGCGGCCACCUGGACCGGUAUUGACGCUGAGGUGCGAAAGCGUGGGGAGCAAACAG